rnacentral:rRNA from 1 species
UACGGAGGGUGCAAGCGUUAUCCGGAUUCACUGGGUUUAAAGGGUGCGUAGGCGGACUUGUAAGUCAGUGGUGAAAUCUCUCAGCUUAACUGAGAAACUGCCAUUGAUACUGCAGGUCUUGAGUACAGAUGAUGUUGGCGGAAUAUGACAUGUAGCGGUGAAAUGCAUAGAUAUGUCAUAGAACACCGAUUGCGAAGGCAGCUGACAAAACUGUAACUGACGCUGAGGCACGAAAGUGUGGGGAUCAAACAGG